UGUCCCCACUCUCUCUCUCUCUUGCUCUCACUCUCGCUUUCUGUCUGUCUUUAUUUGAACACAGUACUGCCAUGGAUGCUGACUGCUCUGGCAGUUGGAAGUGUCUUUCUGUGGGGAGCUGUAAUGUGUGUACGCAGAAUAAGUUGCAGAGAGAGACCAAAGGCCAGCUCUAAUCUCCCCACUUUGGAUAUCCCUCUAAGGCAACCUGACAUGUCAGAGUCCCUAAGGUACAGCAAUCCCCAAAAGUAACAUAUGAUAACC